rnacentral:rRNA from 1 species
GACAGAGGUGCCGAGCGUUAGGCGGAAUCACUGGGCUUAAAGCGUGUGUAGGCGGGCCGUUAAGUGUCUUGUGAAAUCCCCCGGCUCAACCGGGGAAUUGCUGGGCAUACUGGCGGUCUUGAGCAAUCUAGGGGCAGAUGGAACAAGUGGUGGAGCGGUGAAAUGCGUAGAUAUCACUUGGAACGCCAAAGGUGAAGACAGUCUGCUGGGGAUUUGCUGACGCUGAGACACGAAAGCCAGGGGAGCGAACGGG